rnacentral:rRNA from 1 species
AAAUUGAAGAGUUUGAUCAUGGCUCAGAUUGAACGCUGGCGGCAGGCCUAACACAUGCAAGUCGAACGGUAACAGGAAGCAGCUUGCUGCUUCGCUGACGAGUGGCGGACGGGUGAGUAAUGUCUGGGAAACUGCCUGAUGGAGGGGAUAACUACUGGAAACGGUGGCUAAUACCGCAUAACGUCGCAAGACCAAAGAGGGGGACCUUCGGGCCUCUUGCCAUCAGAUGUGCCCAGAUGGGAUUAGCUUGUUGGUGAGGUAACGGCUCACCAAGGCGACGAUCCCUAGCUGGUCUGAGAGGAUGACCAGCCACACUGGAACUGAGACACGGUCCAGACUCCUACGGGAGGCAGCAGUGGGGAAUAUUGCACAAUGGGCGCAAGCCUGAUGCAGCCAUGCCGCGUGUAUGAAGAAGGCCUUCGGGUUGUAAAGUACUUUCAGCGGGGAGGAAGGUGUUGUGGUUAAUAACCGCAGCAAUUGACGUUACCCGCAGAAGAAGCACCGGCUAACUCCGUGCCAGCAGCCGCGGUAAUACGGAGGGUGCAAGCGUUAAUCGGAAUUACUGGGCGUAAAGCGCACGCAGGCGGUCUGUCAAGUCGGAUGUGAAAUCCCCGGGCUCAACCCCGGGAACUGCAUUCGAAACUGGCAGGCUUGAGUCUUGUAGAGGGGGGUAGAAUUCCAGGUGUAGCGGUGAAAUGCGUAGAGAUCUGGAGGAAUACCGGUGGCGAAGGCGGCCCCCUGGACAAAGACUGACGCUCAGGUGCGAAAGCGUGGGGAGCAAACAGGAUUAGAUACCCUGGUAGUCCACGCCGUAAACGAUGUCUACUUGGAGGUUGUGCCCUUGAGGCGUGGCUUCCGGAGCUAACGCGUUAAGUAGACCGCCUGGGGAGUACGGCCGCAAGGUUAAAACUCAAAUGAAUUGACGGGGGCCCGCACAAGCGGUGGAGCAUGUGGUUUAAUUCGAUGCAACGCGAAGAACCUUACCUGGUCUUGACAUCCACAGAACUUUCCAGAGAUGGAUUGGUGCCUUCGGGAACUGUGAGACAGGUGCUGCAUGGCUGUCGUCAGCUCGUGUUGUGAAAUGUUGGGUUAAGUCCCGCAACGAGCGCAACCCUUAUCCUUUGUUGCCAGCGGUUAGGCCGGGAACUCAAAGGAGACUGCCAGUGAUAAACUGGAGGAAGGUGGGGAUGACGUCAAGUCAUCAUGGCCCUUACGACCAGGGGUACACACGUGCUACAAUGGCGCAUACAAAGAGAAGCGACCUCGCGAGAGCAAGCGGACCUCAUAAAGUGCGUCGUAGUCCGGAUUGGAGUCUGCAACUCGACUCCAUGAAGUCGGAAUCGCUAGUAAUCGUGGAUCAGAAUGCCACGGUGAAUACGUUCCCGGGCCUUGUACACACCGCCCGUCACACCAUGGGAGUGGGUUGCAAAAGAAGUAGGUAGCUUAACCUUCGGGAGGGCGCUUACCACUUUGUGAUUCAUGACUGGGGUGAAGUCGUAACAAGGUAACCGUAGGGGAACCUGCGGUUGGAUCACCUCCUUACCUUAAAGAAGC